rnacentral:lncRNA from 1 species
AAAGAAAAGAAAAAAAAAGAAAAGCAGCCAGGAGUUCUGGGGUUCUGUUUGGGCACCUUAAGUUUGAGGUGCCCGUUAGAACUAUGCGGAAAGAGUAAUGUCCUAUUUUUAUCACUUAAAUCAGGUAUAGAGGCUGCUAUGAGACCCGUUAUGUUUCACGAAUGUGAAAAUAUGGUGGCCUCGACUCAGUACGUGUUUGUGGGAUGCAUGAGGCCCACUGUGUUCUGUGACAAUGGCGAAUGGCCAGUUCCCAUUUGAAUCUCAGUGGCACACUUUCACAAAGCCUUUGUAGAUUUCUCCUGAGCAGGGUGGUGCCUUCACCAUGUUUACAAGAGUAUCUGCAGUGCCAUUUCCUCUAUACCUAUUGUUUUAUGUUGAAAGCACUCUACCUGUUUUGCAUAAUUGUUUGAGGCACACGUAAUUAGUUUUGUGUCAAGGUAAGCUUUUAUGUAGUGCCUCAAGAAUCAGAAUUGCAAUUUCCAAAGGUUGGUGGAGCAUGAUAGAAUGCUGUUCUCGCCGACCCCAUGGUGCUGAAGGCUCCCGUUCUCAGUGUCACUCACUUCCCUGCAUGGGAAAUAGCAGCUCACGGCAGAAACUGCCAUCCGGUCUUUGCCAACUCCCAGGAGCCGGCAGGCAGUGAGAUGGGUAGUGAUGUGUGCAUGGCUGUUUCCUUGCAACAAAGAAUUCCAUUUAGCAGACACGCGCCUCCCUGUAAGUCCAAGGCCAGCUUCCAGCAGCAGGGACGGGGGUUGUAAAGACAAACAAGGCAUGGACCAAGGAUUUAACAUCAUGUGAGGAUGGGCAAGAGCCUUCCUGGUUACUGCAGAACCGCCUGGGAGUGUUGGGAGGGAGGCGAGCAUCAUCUGGGUUUGGGGAAGGCUUUUCAGGUGCAGCAGGAGUUUAGCUGAGUUCUAGAGGGUGGGGAGGACACUGUCUAGGUUAAAGAGUGGCUUGAGCAAAGGUUCUAGAGGUGUGAGACUACAUUUAAAAAAAUUGCAAUGAC